UAGGAACCAUGUCAAAAGCUUUCCUAAAGUCAACAAAACAACAAAAAAGAUUGGUUUUAGUAUUGUGGAACUCCUCUGAAAUGAUCCUAAAGGUAACAAGAUGGUCCAUAGUUGAAUGAUAUCUCCUAAACCUGGCCUGGCCUUUAGCUCUUUUAUCGUGACUUUCUAGCCAAAUGCUAAUCUUUUUUUCCAAAAUGAUUCCAUAAAGCUUGGCUAAAAUUAGGCUAAUCAUAAUGGUUCAAUUCGAUACAAAGCGAAGAACCUUACCAGGGCUUGACAUGUCGUGAAUCCUCCCGAAAGAGAGGAGUGCCUUCGGGAACGUAGACACAGGUGGUGCAUGGCUGUCGUCAGCUCGUGUCGUAAGGUGUUGGGUUAAGUCCUGCAACGAGCGCAACCCUCAUGUUUAGUUGCCAACAUUGAGUUUGGAACCCUGAAUAGACUGUCGGUGAUAAGCCGGAGGAAGGUGAGGAUGACGUUAAGUCAUCAUGCCCCUUACGCCUUGGGCGACACACGUGCUACAAUGACCGGGACAAAGGGUCGCGACCCCACGAGGGAAAGCUAACCUCAAAAACCUGACCUCAGUUCAGAUUGCAGGCUACAACUCGCCUGCAUGAAGCCGGAAUCGCUUGUAAUCGUCUGUCAACCAUACAGCGGUGAAUCCAUUCCUGAUCCUUGUACACACCGCCCGUCACACGAUGGGAGCUGGCCAUGCCCCAAGUCAUUACCUUAACCACAAGGAGGGGGAUGCAGAAGGCUGGGCUAGUGACUAGAGUGAAGUCGUAACAAGGUAGUUGUACUGGAAGGUGCGGCUAGAUCACCUCCUUU
rnacentral:rRNA from 1 species